UACGAGAGGCCCAAACGUUAUUCGGAUUUACUGGGCUUAAAGAGUUCGUAGGCGGCGCAGAAAGUGGGGUGUGAAAGCCCUCGGCUCAACCGAGGAAUUGCGCUCCAAACUACUGUGCUAGAGGAAGCUAGAGGUGAGCAGAACAGAUGGUGGAACGGUGAAAUGCGCUGAUAUCAUCUGGAAUACCGGAGGCGAAGGCGGCUCACUGGGGCUUUUCUGACGCUGAGGAACGAAAGCCAGGGGAGCGAACGGG
rnacentral:rRNA from 1 species